rnacentral:siRNA from 1 species
GGGGAUACAAUUUUUAGAAGAUAA